UUUUAAUCCCAGAGGUUUCGCCCUCCUGACGCUCGCCAAGGUCCCCACGGACCCGGAACAGCCCCCAUCUAAUCAGCCGGGAAGAAAUAAGCGCAGCAAGACACUCUAGGAAAGUCAAUUUCCAUAGAGAGGAAUCUUCCAUUCUUCCUCCCAGAGGAUGUAAGCUGAUCUACCAUCAUUCUGGCUGCUGGGCAGGGAAAGUGAGCGAGGCGUUCGCCACCCACCUCCAGAUUGCAAGCUCCAGGAAGGCUGAGUUUGUGCUGCAUUUUAUUCACCGUUGUAUCCCCAGCACCCAGUACAGUGCUUGUCAGUUGCAGGGACUGGUGUUCCAGCAGCCACUUUGGACCAUGAAGUGACCUUGGGAAUGAAAGUCAAUGAUGGUGGAGCAAAAAUACUGAAGCCUUGGGCUUCCCUGGUGGCGCAGUGGUUGAGAAUCUGCCUGCCAAUGCAGGGGACAUGGGUUCGAGCCCUGGUCUGGGAAGAUCCCACAUGCCACGGAGCAACUAAGCCCGUGAGCCACAGCUACUGAGCCUGCACGUCUGGAGCCUGUGCUCCGCAACAAGAGAGGCCGUGAUAGUGAGAGGCCCGCGCACCACGAUGAAGAGUGGCCCCCGCUUGCUGCAACUAGAGAAAGCCCUCGCACAGAAACGAAGACCCAACACAGCCAAAAAAUAAUAAUAAUAAUAAUACUGAA